CUUCCCUCACCCAUAUGAAGUGUCUACCUUUUGCAGACUCCAGUGGCUCAGGAACUGGGGAUGCAGUGCCAGGCUCGUGGUGUCCUGCAGCAGAUGUGGGGAACUUUCCUUCUUUAUGUCUCCAUGAAGAUGGGAGGUACUACAGGACAAAACAUUGACCAGCCCACUGAGAUGACAGCUAUGGAAGGAGCCACUGUCCAGAUCAACUGCACAUACCAGACAUCUGGGUUCAACGGGCUGUCCUGGUACCAGCAACAUGAUGGCGAAGCACCCACACUUCUCUCUUACAAUGUUCUGGAUGGUUUGGAGGAGAAAGGUCGUUUUUCUUCAUUCCUUAGUAACUCGAAAAGGUACAGUUACCUCCUUUUGAAGGAGCUCCAGAUGAAAGACUCUGCCUCUUACCUCUGUGCUGUGAGAGACACGGUGACUAUGAGGCCUCUUCAGCUGCAACAAAAUUCAAAAAGCAACCACAGCAGCAAGAAGUUAUAUUUCCUGAGUGUAUGCCUGCUGUGAGUUAAGACUGGGGACUUUGGAACCAGACUGCGUGGAUUUGAGUUUGCUACUUUCUAGUUGGGUUAUCUUAAGUCAAUCACUUUUUUUUUUUUUUUUUUGGUUUAUUUGCUUAUCUAUAAAGUGAGAAUAAUUAGAGUAUCUACCUCACAAGGCUGUUGUGAGUUAUGACUCUCUAUCUAUAUCAUCUAUAUCUAUAGUUAUAUCUAGUGUUACUCAGAGAAGUAGUGGCACACAGUAAGGUCUAUUUAAGUUUAGUUAUUUCAAUUCCAGUCUUGAAUUUUCACUAAGUAUUAUGUGGUAGGACCUCUGGGACUGCAACUCAGUAUUUCUCUACCCUUGGUUUGUGGAAGGUGAAAUCCUAACCACUAUUUGUAUCUUGUGGGUCUAAAGGUAUUAGAUGGAGUUUGUCGUUCGGGUGGAUUGUUGCUCUGGAAGGAUCCCUGUGGUGAUACUCAUUUUCUUUGGGGGGACUCUGAACUUUGGAAAUCCAAAUGCAAAUGCUUCAGAGUGAGAUGUUAAGUAUUCUGAUUAAUUAUGAAAGGCUCUCUUCAUUAUGUGCAUCCUUGAUAAAUAAAUAUAAUCAACAUAUUUCAGAGGUUUAUAACUCAGGCUAGAAGUGAAGUUUAGGGGCUUUAGACGUGGGGAGCAUGAACAUAAUCAGGGGAGUCUGUAGAAGAUGGGAAAGAAGAGUGAACACAAGCAAUUUGGUAGCAAAUCUGGGUGAGGCAGGAGAGCCAGUAGGAGAUUCUCAUGAAAAGAUGUAGUCAGUAGGCAUUAAGUACAAUAAAAAUUUACAGUAAAUGUGAAGAUUUUCCUUUCCUGCUUUAUAAUUCCCUUAUGUUCUCUUCAGAUCUUUUAAUGAAGUCUGUUAAAUGCUACAACUUGCUGUCAGCUAGGUUUAGAGAGUACAUCAUUGUGUAUGGCUACCUCCACAUGAGAUAAAGCCGAUCAGAGAGCGCAAGCUCAGAUUGCAGGUUAUUGGGACAUCAAAAGUGAGGGUUGCUCCAAGUUACCAUAGUUAUAUGGUCAGUCAUAUGCUAUGCAUUUUUUUUUUUUUGGAGUCAAGGAUUAAACAAAAUUCUCUUUGGGUGAGGUAGGAGUGCUUUUUCAUUCUAAUUUAUAAAAUGAACAUUUGAGGUGGAAUUUGAAUAGACAUAGUCAUACUGGAAAGUAACCUUGAUAACAUGAAUCCAGGCCACUGAAAUGUUCAUGUUCCUUUUGUCUAACAAUUCAUUUUUUUGAGCUGUCAUUUAAAUAAAUGCAGGCGAGAAAUGAAGCUUUGAUUUUUCCAGUUUACAAGGAAACCAAAGAAGCCAUAGAAAUGAUAUUUAAGGACUUUGGACUUGGUGAGUAUGAAUUGUUCAUAUAGUUAUCAAUUAGGGAAAACAAUAUUAUGCAAAUGAUAUUGUGAAUGCUAUGAUCAAUGGAAUAUUUUAAAGUUGUAUUAGUUUCUAUUCCUGCAUAACAAAUUACCACAACACCUAUAUAUUAACUUGUAGUUCUGUAGGUCAUAAGUCCAAGCAAGUUCAGCUGAGUUCUAUGCUUAGGACGUAACCAUAGUAAAGUUGAGGCAUUGGCUGGGUGAGUACUCAAGUUCUCACCCAGAGUUCAGAGUU